rnacentral:rRNA from 1 species
AUUGAACGCUGGCGGCGUGCCUAACACAUGCAAGUCGAUCGGUAACGCGGGGGCUACCCUGGCGACGAGAGGCGGACGGGUGAGCAAUGUUUGGGAAUCUGCCCAUCAGCGGGGGACAACCCGGGGAAACCCGGGCUAAUACCGCAUACGCUCUACGGAGGAAAGCCGGGGACCGCAAGGCCUGGCACUGACGGAUGAGCCCAAGCCGGAUUAGCUAGUUGGCGGGGUAACGGCCCACCAAGGCGACGAUCCGUAGCUGGUCUGAGAGGACGAUCAGCCACACCGGAACUGAGACACGGUCCGGACUCCUACGGGAGGCAGCAGUGGGGAAUAUUGGACAAUGGGGGAAACCCUGAUCCAGCGACGCCGCGUGGGUGAAGAAGGCCUGCGGGUUGUAAAGCCCUUUCGGUAGGGACGAAAGCUUCCGACCUAACACGUCGGAGGGUUGACUUAACCUACAGAAGAAGCACCGGCUAACUCUGUGCCAGCCGCCGCGGUAAGAC